GACGAACGCUGGCGGCGUGCCUAAUACAUGCAAGUCGAACGCAUUUUCUUUCACCGUAGCUUGCUACACCGAAAGAAAAUGAGUGGCGAACGGGUGAGUAACACGUGGGUAACCUGCCCAUCAGCGGGGGAUAACACUUGGAAACAGGUGCUAAUACCGCAUAAUUCCAUUUACUGCAUGGUAGAUGGUUGAAAGGCGCUUUUGCGUCACUGAUGGAUGGACCCGCGGUGCAUUAGCUAGUUGGUGGGGUAACGGCCUACCAAGGCUGCGAUGCAUAGCCGACCUGAGAGGGUGAUCGGCCACACUGGGACUGAGACACGGCCCAGACUCCUACGGGAGGCAGCAGUAGGGAAUCUUCGGCAAUGGACGCAAGUCUGACCGAGCAACGCCGCGUGAGUGAAGAAGGUUUUCGGAUCGUAAAACUCUGUUGUUAGAAAAGAACAAGGAUGAGAGUGGAAAGUUCAUCCCUUGACGGUAUCUAACCAGAAAGCCACGGCUAACUACGUG
rnacentral:rRNA from 1 species